rnacentral:rRNA from 1 species
ACGUAGGGGGCGAGCGUUAUCCGGAUUCAUUGGGCGUAAAGCGCGCGUAGGCGGCCCGGCAGGCCGGGGGUCGAAGCGGGGGGCUCAACCCCCCGAAGCCCCCGGAACCUCCGCGGCUUGGGUCCGGUAGGGGAGGGUGGAACACCCGGUGUAGCGGUGGAAUGCGCAGAUAUCCGGUGGAACACCGGUGGCGAAGGCGGCCCUCUGGCCCGAGACCGACGCUGAGGCGCGAAAGCUGGGGGAGCGAACAG